GACGAACGCUGGCGGCGUGCCUAAUACAUGCAAGUCGAGCGGAACUGGGGGAGCUUGCUCCUUCCAGUUUAGCGGCGGACGGGUGAGUAACACGUGGGCAACCUGCCCUGCAGAUCGGGAUAACUCCGGGAAACCGGUGCUAAUACCGAAUAGUUUGGCGCCUCUCCUGGGGCGCUACGGAAAGACGGUUUCGGCUGUCACUGCCGCAUGGGCCCGCGGCGCAUUAGCUAGUUGGUGGGGGAACGGCCCACCAAGGCGACGAUGCGUAGCCGACCUGAGAGGGUGACCGGCCACACUGGGACUGAGACACGGCCCAGACUCCUACGGGAGGCAGCAGUAGGGAAUCUUCCGCAAUGGACGCAAGUCUGACGGGGCAACGCCGCGUGAGUGACGAAGGUUUUCGGAUCGUAAAACUCUGUUGUGAGGGAAGAACACGUACCAACUAACUAUUGGUACCUUGACGGUACCUCACCAGAAAGCCACGGCUAACUACGUGCCAGCCGCCGCAGUAA
rnacentral:rRNA from 1 species